ACUGGUAUGACUGUAUUCCAAUAAAAUUUUAUUUACAAAAAGACGCAGUCUGGAUUUGGUAGUUUGCUGAUCCCUUUCUACCAGAACAUUUCUUCCAUAGAUUGAACUGAAUGACAUUUAAUGGGUGACAAAUAAAGAAGAAAGAAUGACAUGGUAAAAGACGGAUAUGGAUUUAAUGACAAAUAUUCCAUGUUGGUUGCUGAACAGCAGAAUGCUGUCCAAGGAACCAUCAUUAAAUAAAACCACCUGAAAAUAAGGCAAUUCUCACAUACACAAUCACACACUCACACAAGACCUGUUACUUUUAGGAUCAUUAAAUUAUUCACUAUUUUAACAAAUAGCUGUAAAAUAACAUUACAGAGAAGGAAAAUGUGCACAAACUUCAGAGACACAGUUCAGAUUGUCUAUGAACACACGUUCUUAAUUUGUACUUUUUCACAUAUGUACAGCCUCUUGAUCUUGAAGAGACCACAUGGCUCAAGGGGUUAACUUCUCAUCUUCUCCUUCCAACUCAGAGCUCAAGAUUUAAUCUAGUCAAGCUGCUCCAGGUUUUGCUCAGUAAAGGGCAGCCUGAACUUGACCAAACUCCCUACGAAACAAAUGAUACACUUGCCUCCACCAUCAUUAAUAAACUGGUAGGAGGAGUCUUCAGAUUAACAUUUUCAAGGGUGAACCACAGUUCACAGGAUUUGCUGAAGAAAUACUAUUAUUCUAAAACCAGACACGAGAAACGACCUCCUGAAUGCAUUUCACCUCACUUAAUGCAGGUAUGUUCCCUGAAGAAUUCUAAGAAAAGUGGAAUCACAUUUUAAAUGCACCAUGAAGAGUUGGGUGUUGGUGGUUCGACUGUUUUUUUCUGCUAAAGGAUUUGCUCAGAGAAGGGAUAGUUAAGUACUAGGUGACACUCUUAUCUAUAGUCAUAGAAAGAACGAGAGAGGUCAAUGAAAUCCAGAGUUCCACUGCCAGUAAAUUAUCGUACAUUAGCUUCAAUCUCCUCUACCCAUUGAACUCUUUCUCAAAAGCUGCUGAUACGCAAUGUUUGAUGCAGACAAGACUGUGCAAUAGUAUAAUGGCAGCAAAAAGCCAAAUAACUCAUAAAGUGGAUAAUCAACCAUGAAUAAUCAAAAGUUGGAUGAGAUUUCAUAGGCACAGACUUGAGAAAACUUAAAACAGCUGGAAGAGGUAGAUGUGCGUUUAAAAAACCACAAAGGAAUAAGAUUACCUACAAAUUGGCUAUAUUAUUUUCAGGUGAGUCUUAUACACUUGGUAUUCAGACUACAAGAGUCGGAAUAAAUAAUGGACACUUGCCUUGCUCGAAUUACUCUCGACUAAAUGAAAAUAAAAAAGAAUUAGUGUCUUCCCCAACUAUCCAUAUUUUGAAAACCUAUUUGAUUUGUGAGUAACAAUAACUGAUUAAGAGGGCAAGAUCAACAGGCAUUAUAUAAGCCCCAAAUUCUCAGGAUUUUUUUCAAAAGUGUUUUUAUAACAACAAAAACAUGCUUUCCUACAGUCCCCAAAGAGGUUCUUUGCUAGAAUACAACUAAGUGAUCAAGUAUAAAUUACCAGCAUCCACAGAAAGUUUGCUAAAACUGUAAAAACAAGCUUGUAGUUUUUUUUUUCCUUCAAGUGUGUCCAACAGCUUGUGAAGAUGCUUCCAUGGAAAGUACAGGAAAACAAACGCUAGUGAAGAAAAUAGUACUGCUUUCCACAACUCUAACUCCUAAAGGCUAACCUAGGGAAGGGAUUUUCAGCACAAGUAACUGAAAUCUAUACAAGAGUCAUCUAACUACAGCCCCCUACGAGAAAUGGAACAUAUUCAGGACACUCUAAUUACAUGACAAAGACCAGCUUUGUCAACAAGGACAUCUUUGGCCCUUCUAGACUAGCCUUAAGUUUUCCAUCAAGCAUAAAAAUUUUCAGUGUCCUUAUUUUACUAUAUAAAUCAUAACAGGUAAAUCUUCCUAGCAGCUGAGCUGGAGAGCACAAAAGGUCAGACCACACCGCUCCACACCGUCAUCACCUCUCUUCAGAACAGCCUGCCACACCCCUGUCCCCAGGCCUCCCCUAAGACAGGGUUCAUAAUACUGAUCCACCUCACAAAGAUGUGAGAAACAACUAACAAUCAUUAAAAAGCAUAAAGCACUUUGCAAAUAUAAAAGUGCUAUUUUGGCAUUUAUAUAACCACCAGAAAACAUUCAUUGCUUGUGCUAUUUGGCAAUUUUGCAUUUACACCUCUCCUUGCUUGUACCUUCCUUGUGUAAGCCUUGAGCUUUCUACUGUGACUCCCUAUAUGAGAAAAAGAAAUUCUACUCAGACUGGAG
rnacentral:lncRNA from 1 species